rnacentral:tRNA from 1 species
GAGGGUGUAGCUCAGUGGUAGAGUGCGUGCUUAGCAUGUAUGAAAUGGUCCUGAGUUCAGUCCUCAGUGCCUCCA